GGAAAUUAGGUGCGCUUGGCACUGGGGUUCAGGAAACUGAACCUCAGUAAGCAUUGGCUCGUUUCCAAUGUUGAUUGCUCCGCCGGUGCUCCUUAUUUUUAAGGGCGCCGGCA
rnacentral:misc_RNA from 1 species